rnacentral:rRNA from 1 species
UUAUGCAGCCAGACCUCCUUGGGCUGUGAUCUCAAACAUAAAUGGGGUUGGACUUGGUCAGUAGCUGGAUGGGAGAACACAAAGUAAAAGUCAAGGAACUACAAAUG